rnacentral:lncRNA from 1 species
ACAGAUGAAAACUGGAGACAAAAUGCAUGAGACCAACAUUGUAGAGAAAGACUUUUUUCCAACUGAACUGAGUGUAAAUCCAGAUAUUUCUUGCAAGUGCAUCAACCAGUGGCCAAUCUGAAAUUUGGGCAAUGUUCCAUUGUGAAGAGUUUAUGUUUCAUGUCUUUGGUACCUUAAUUGGGCCUCCAGCCAGAAAUUUGUGACUGUAAUUUCCUCACUCUACUAUGGACUUCUCAAUGGUGGCUGCAUCUGUAAGACAGUGAAGCAGGAGGAAAGAGAGCAAGGAGGAAAGAAAAAGCAAAGGGUUUGGUCCACCUUCUUAGAAUCACAGCUGUAUCAAAUGGAGAGGAUGGUUCACCUCCCUCAGGAUUUCAGCUAUUAGGUGUCAUAGUUGCCACAGCCCUGCCAUCUUGAGAUUGCCUGAGGUCUGAGGCAUACCAGAAGAGAAUGGAGUAUUUUCAUAUUCUCCCUCUGUGUUAGGAGCUCAUUUUCCUACUCAAACCAGAGCUAGACUGCCUCUCCUGGAGCUCUCUCUGUCUCUGCCCUAAGGGAUGCUCAAUACAGGUUUCUAGGUAUGUUGUAUUCUGGGUACCGAUACUGCAGGUUGGAGGAGAUGUAAAUUCAACACUGGUUGAUUUGGUGGUAACUUGAAUUCUGGUGUUCUCAAUAUGAUUCCUUCUACUAGAUAGUUUUUCUUUUAUUUAUUUGCUUUUUAGGCCCACACCUGAGGCAUAUAUAAGUUCCCAAGCUAGGGGUGAAAUCAGAGCUACUGCUGCCAGCCUAUGCCACAGCCAUAGCAACUUGGAAUAUGAGCCACAUCUGCGAUCUACACCACAGCUCACGGCAAUACCAGAUUCCCAGCCAACUGGGUGAGGCCAGGGAUUGAACCUGCAUGCUCAUGGAUACUGGUCAGACUCAUUUCCACUGUACCACAAUGGUAGCUCCUACUAGAUAGUUUUUAGAGUCUUUAAGUAGCUGUUGGAUGCAUUCUGUCCAGAUUUGAUAUUUACAUUUAGUAGGGGAGACACUAUGUGGUGUGCUAAUUCCACUUACAUUGAACCAUAAUCACCCAUUUGUUGGGUGUUUGUUGAAUACUUUCUAUUCAUAGGCACUGACCUAGAUUCUGGUGGUACAAUGGCAAGCAAAAAGACAAGGCUCUGUCCCAGAUGAAGCUUACCAUUAAAUGACAAAAGAUUUUUAUUAAUCAUCCUUCCUUUUUUAACACAACUUUUUUUUGCCUUUGGCCUUUUUCAAAUCAGUGCCCACCUCCCAAUAAGGUUUUUUGAUUGGUCUAUCCUCUUCUACUCAGAAAUACUCAUGGAUAUCUAAAUUUUAUAGUUGAGACCUAACCUGAGACUUCUAUUCUUCUGUAAGGUAUAUAAAUUUAUCAUCACGACCUAACAGAGAAAACUACCUUCUAAAAGACUUCAAAGACUUCAGAUGUCCGGUAGGAAAUAAGAGGCAUAGAAAUCAUUGCUCCCAUCUAUACAGGAAAAAAAAAGGCUGAAAAAACUAAAAAUCAACAUUAUCUCCUUAAAUCAAUCAGAGAAUCAGAGAGCUGUGGUUACAUGGAAAACAACUGCCCUCAUGGGAAUUCCUGUCAUGGCUCAGUGGUUAAUGAAUCCGACUAGGAACCAUAACAUUGCAAGUUCAGUCCUUAGCCUUGCUCAGUGGGUUAAGGAUCUGGCAUUGUCAUGAGCUGUGGUGUAGGUCACAGACGCUGCUCGGAUCCCACAUUGCUGUGGCUCUGGCAUAGGCUGGUGGCUACAACUCUGAUUAGACCCCUAGCCUGGGAACCUCCAUAUGCUGUGGUGCAGCCCUAGAAAAGACAAAAAACAAAAAACAAAAACAAAAACAAAACCCCAAAAAACACAACUGCCCUCAUGAAGAGAGAUACUGCUGGAUACAGAGACCACACUUACUGGAGCAGAAGACCAGGAAUAGGAAACUCCACAGGAUUCAGUACAGGUUCCUUUUACCCAGUAUAUCUUCUCUGGCUUUGUGUUCUGACACCAAUUGGGUGUCUUACAAUUCACUUCAACUCUGACACUAGCUAGUUGCAAGUCGCAUCAGAUUCCACAAAUUAAAGAGCAAGGUCCUCAAUAAGACUGCCUUUACUUCAGACGCCAGCCACCAGUGAGUUCUCCAGGCUACUCACACUUCUGCCUGGCUGACUACAAAUUGGAGCUUUCCCACAACCCCCUAGGGCUGCACCCAUGGCAUACGGAGGUUCCCAGACUAGGGGUUGAAUCAGAGCUGCAGCUGCCGACCUCUGCCACAGCCACAGCAAUGUCAAAUCCAAGCCACAUCUGUGACCUACACCACAGCUCAUGGCAACGUUGGAACCUUAACCCACUGAGCAAAGCCAAGGAUCAAAGCUGUGUCCUCAUGGAUACUAGUUGGAUUUGUUUCCACUGAGCCACAAUGGGAACUCUGGAUUUUUCACCAUAAGAAGAGAGAAACCCAGCAGUUGCUACAUUCUGCUGAAUGGCAUCUAUAAUUACCUUAACAUUCACAGCAGGACAAUGAUCAGAGAGUAAGCCAAUGCCUUCUGUGACUUGUAAGAACUGUGAAAAUAGGGAUUUUAAAAUUAGAGGUGGAAAGAAUUUUAAAGCUCUAUAAAGUUAAUAACUAUAAAGUUAAUAACUCCACUUCAAAAUAUAUCAAGCAAGAGUGAUGUCAGAGAAGACGGCAGAGUAGAAAGCUCCUGGAAUCUCUACCUCCACUUAAACAACUAUUGAACUGACAGAAACUCUCUAAAGUAAAUAAUUUGAUACUCUGGAGUCUAGUUGAAAAGUUGAUCUCAGUGAGCUUUAGCUUUCCUAUUCAGCAGUGGCUACCAUCUUCACACCUCAUUAUAGUAGGGAGCCAAGGGACUGCUGUCUGUGUUCUUAAUGUAGCUUUCUAGAGCCAAGGUUAGCAUUGAGGACAUGGUUCUCCAAAUAUUGAGGUUACGUGUUAUUUCUGAUUGCUACUUUCAUUGAUAAGUGCUCAAUAGCAUAUUUGAACAGGAAGCAGAAAGGAUCAGAAAAUCCAAAGAUAGGAUAGUUGAAAGUAUUUAGUAUAAGGAACAAAAAGGAAAAAAAAA